rnacentral:tRNA from 1 species
GAUUGUUUAAUUUAACUGGUAAGGUGCUUGUUUUGAAAACAAGAAAUAAAAGUUCGAAUCUUUUAACAAUCU